rnacentral:rRNA from 1 species
GUGCUUGCACUCAAUUGGAAAGAGGAGUGGCGGACGGGUGAGUAACACGUGGGUAACCUACCCAUCAGAGGGGGAUAACACUUGGAAACAGGUGCUAAUACCGCAUAACAGUUUAUGCCGCAUGGCAUAAGAGUGAAAGGCGCUUUCGGGUGUCGCUGAUGGAUGGACCCGCGGUGCAUUAGCUAGUUGGUGAGGUAACGGCUCACCAAGGCCACGAUGCAUAGCCGACCUGAGAGGGUGAUCGGCCACACUGGGACUGAGACACGGCCCAGACUCCUACGGGAGGCAGCAGUAGGGAAUCUUCGGCAAUGGACGAAAGUCUGACCGAGCAACGCCGCGUGAGUGAAGAAGGUUUUCGGAUCGUAAAACUCUGUUGUUAAAGAAAACAAGGACGUUAGUAACUGAACGUCCCCUGACGGGAUCUAACCAGAAAGCCACGGCUAACUACGUGCCAGCAGCCGCGGUAAUACGUAGGUGGCAAGCGUUGUCCGGAUUUUUGGGCGUAAAGCGAGCGCAGGCGGUUUCUUAAGUCUGAUGUGAAAGCCCCGGCUCAACCGGGGAGGGUCAUUGGAAACUGGGAGACUU